rnacentral:rRNA from 1 species
AGUGAACGCUGGCGGCAUGCCUAACACAUGCAAGUCGAACGGUAACAGGCCCGCAAGGGUGCUGACGAGUGGCGGACGGGUGAGGAAUACAUCGGAAUUUGCCCAGUCGUGGGGGAUAACGUAGGGAAACUUACGCUAAUACCGCAUACGACCUAACGGUGAAAGCGGGGAUCGCAAGACCUCGCGCGGAUGGAUAAGCCGAUGUCGGAUUAGCUAGUUGGCGGGGUAAAGGCCCACCAAGGCGACGAUCCGUAGCUGGUCUGAGAGGAUGAUCAGCACACUGGGACUGAGACACGGCCCAGACUCCUACGGGAGGCAGCAGUGGGGAAUAUUGGACAAUGGGGGCAACCCUGA